AGUUUAGAAUAUACAACAUCGACAGACAUUGAUGAAGCUCUUGCGGAGAAACAAUUAAGAAAAGAAAGCUACAGACAAAGUUUGUAGAAUUUUUAGGAGACAAUGAUUACCAGAACUAUCCUCAAAUGUCAAAUGAAUAGUUGUCCAAGUUCCCUUUACCUCUAAUUGCGCUCAGCAAAUUGAGUUCACGUUUACAUUGUAAACAAACUAAAUCUAGUUCAGUUUAUCACUAAUUCAGUUUAUCAAAGCUUUUUUCACUAAUUCAGUAUUUACCACUAAAUCAUAAUUCUAUCACAAUUUUUUCACUAAUUAAGUUUUUAUCACUAAUUCACAAUUCACAGAGCAGUUUAUCACUAAUUUAGUUUAUCAAAGUUUAAUACUAAUUAAGUUUAUCAAAGUUUUCUUGCUCAUCCAAAGCUUACAUCAAGCAUCAAAACUUCUCAGUUACAACCACCUUCAACAAUACAUGACCUAAUUGUACCCAAAAAAUCUAGCCAACCAUGUUUUCUGUUAACUGCUUUAAACAUACCAAUCAGGUCAACACCAAAAUCUACCUUGGCACGUCUGCCGAUUCCAGUCACGUCAACACCAUUAAACUAACUGAUUAGGUCAGCACACAAGUCCGUCCGCACGGUCAUCCAAUGAAGAAAGUGAAAGCACGGAUCCACCAAAUGCAAAUAUGGUGCUUUUGAUAACUGAAUUUAAGAAUUCCAGAAGGCAGUGUUUUUCAAACUGUCACAACUCACCAUAGAAAUCUUGGAAUUGAAAAGCUCCUUAGGCAACAACCGAUGUCUGCUGCUUUACUAGGUGCCAACAACUCAAUGGGAUUAGAAAAUAGUAAUGGCCCUAUUGACACAAUUGAAAAAAUACGAAUCGCUGAUUUUUUGUUGUGAAAGUCCUGCUGCAAGUACUCUUUUGACAAUUGAUGGAUCAGAUCUGGGAAAGACUGUUGCGUAUAAUAUGUCGCGACUUUUUACUAAUUCUUUGAUGUCACAAACGAACAUGGAUGGUCGAAGAAAUUUGGCGAAAGUUCCAUUCAGAAGAUCCUUCAUAUAUAAAGUUGUUAUUUUUAACUUUAAUGUUGAUUUUUUAA